rnacentral:lncRNA from 1 species
AGUGUACCUGUCCUCUUCGCAAGAACCGAGGCGGGGUGCCGACCUCCUCCUCCUUCGCGUCACCUUCCCUUCCAUUUCGCCCACCCGCAAAAAUCCAAGACGACGCACGCAAGGCAAACUACUCCCGAAAUCGAAUAAAUAAACGGCUCUCCUUUUCCAAAAACAGCGCGUCCUUCUUCUCAAAAGGUUGGAAAAAUUACUACUACUUCCUUUUUACAUUCCCACGACCGCAGCGGCGGUCAGGCUGACGGCCGCCCGCAGCGCCGGCGUGCGUCCGUGGAGUACGUGCCUGGCCAAUCGAUCCACGCGCUCCGGGGCCGGGCCAAUCCAAACAGUGGUAGCUCAGUAGCUGUUGGCACCCGCUGCUUUCCCCAGACCAAACGUGACCCCGGAGCGGAGAAGAAGCCGCCAUGAAGCAGCCUCCUCCGCCUCUGCCUNNN